GCUAGCGGCAAUACUCUCCCUGCUGCUGGAAAUGGGUCGGUCACGCAAACUUUGAGAGUUACUAAUAGCCAACAUGGAAAGGUAGAUAUCCUUUAUUAGUAUUGCUUCACCGUAAAUAUUUAUGCUCUACCAUGCAUCUUGUCAAGUUUGAAUUCUAAAUGUGAUAUUGAUCACUGCCAAAAUGCUGCGUAAUGUUUUACUUUAAAAUUGGACAGUACACACAACAAAAACUGCCAUAUUUUAGUAUAUACACUGAUAUGGAGUCUGAAUUAAACUCCAUAUUUAGGUAACUGGACAAGCAGGGGAAACUCCCAUUAGGCGCUGCAAAAAUUAUAUUUUUGUAUAAGGA
rnacentral:lncRNA from 1 species